UAUCACUCCUUCGAGCUAGAGCUUUUAGCGAUCGUUGCAGGAUUAGAAAAAUUUCGACAUUAUUUAAUAGGCACGAAUUUUAAAAUUAUUACUGACUGCAAUGCUGUACGGCACGCACUAAGUAAAAAAGAAAUUAUUCCACGAAUUAGUAGGUGGGUAUUAUAUACGCAAGACUUUACAUUCGAAAUAGUCCACAGAGCCGGGUCACAAAUGCAGCAUGUCGAUGCGUUAAGUAGAAACCCCGUCGUUUUUGACGACACUCCGGUAACAGAAAACGUUAACACUAUAACGGAAGGCGAUUGGUUAUUAUCAGUCCAGUUACAAGACCCUGAUAUCUGUAGUAUCAGGGACAUAUUACAAUCAGGUGAGGCCGAGGCAAAUAAACAAAUAUUCAAUGAGUAUGAAUUGUUGGGAAACAAAGUUUAUCGAAGAACUGAGUUUGGGCGACGUUGGCUAGUACCCAAGUAAUGUAUCUGGUUCGUGAUUCGAGCCAAUCAUGACGAGGUAGGACAUUUUGCUGUUGACAAAACUGUCGAAAGAAUUAAAGCAAAGUAUUGGAAAGUAUAAGAAAUUGUCUCAAUUGUAUUUAUUACAAGAAUAUUCAUGGGAGAAAGCCAGGAAAACUAUAUCCAAUUCCAAAAUAUGCCAGACCUUUCCAUACACUCCAUAUUGAUCAUCUUGGUCCAUUCGUUACAACUACUCGUCAAAAUAAAUAUUUGUUAGUAUUAGUCGAUUCGUUUACGAAAUUCGUUUUUAUUUCGGCCGUAAAAAACUCCAAAAGUAAAAUUGAAAUUAAUGAAUUGAAUAAAAUAUUUAAAGUAUUCGGAAAUCCAAAGCGUUUAAUAUGUGACGCUGGUAGUGCCUUCACGUCCAAAUUGUUUACUGGUUAUUGCAAAGAUCGAAAUAUAAGAGCCCACGUAAUCGCUACGGCGAUACCGCGGUCAAACGGACAAGUGGAGCGUUACAACCAAACAAUCUUAGAAGCAUUACGCAGUAUGGGUGCUACAACAACGAAAACAAUAAAUGGGACCAACUUAUUACGAAUAUUCAGCAAGGAAUAAACAGCACUAUUAAUAAAACCACGUCUGCCGUACCAAGCGAGGUGUUCUUCGGAUAUAGGAUUCGAAUGGAUAACGAUGCGCUGAUUGAAGAUGACAACAUGGAAUGUCCUGUAAACGUCACCGAAUUAAGGAAUACAGUAGACACGAAUAUAAAGAAAAGCGCUGAAAGACAGAAGACCACUUUCGAUGCUAAAAGAAAAGAUGCUCCCAGUUAUAAGAUCGGAGACUUGAUCGUGCUUAAGAUUCCGAGCCACUCAAAUGAUGGUGAAAGCACUAAACUGAUGCCCCUCUAUAAAGGCCCAUACCAAGUAACGGAAGUCUUGGGCCACGAUAGAUAUCGAGUAGUGGACAUGAGAGGUGCAGAAAGAUCUUCCAAACGGUAUGAUGGAAUUACAUGCGUAGAGAAUAUGAAGCCAUGGAUCCAUAUUGCCUAAAAACCGGAUGUUGUCGAAAGCUUCUAUAUUAUACCAAAACGCUGUUCGGGGACGAACGCGUAAGCAGGACGGCCGGAUGUUGUCGCACCUAUCGUCUCCACUGUCAAAACUACCUUCAUUUUAAUAUUGUACCACCUUUUUCCCUCUCCACAUAAACUGUCAAACAACAUUAUAAAAGAGGCAGCAUUGGACGAAGAAGGGAAGUUGUGCCUUAUCCGUCGUAGAGUGCGGAUGUUUACCAGUAAUAUAGUGAGUUAGUGUGAUAAGUAUCUGAUUAUAUUAAAUCAUAUAUAAA